UCAUUUCACUUCAAGAAAAAUGGACCAGAAUGGUUUCAGCAAAGAAUCCUUUGAAUCUGUAAAGUAUAACUUCUUCUUCAGAUAGAAGCAGUAAAGGAGCAUGAUCUUAUUUCACAUUUUGCCUCAAAACAUGUAAUUAUAGCUCAGUUAUUUUCCUUUCUCUCUCCACCUGCUGGACAAGUUCAAAUUAAUACAAAAGGCAAAACUGAGAGCCCUGUCACCUGAGCUGCAGCUCAGACCAAAGGCAGCUGGGAGCAUUAGGCAUCUUCCAGGACAUGUCCAGAGAAGCAGAGAAACCUUCACAACUUGUGAAAAUUAAGUCUGAAAAAGUUUUAGAGAGAAUUAAAAUGGGCAGGAAUAACAUUCCAUUUCAUCAGAUAGAUUCAACAGCUUAAAACUGAAUAGCAGAGUUGCAAGAUCAGGAUUUUUUCCUUGCUGCCUGCCAAGCAAGUCAGAUCUUCAACAUAUUCUUUUAUUUCAGUCUACCUAAUGAACAGCAACAGGAUACAAAAAUCCUGAUUCAGCUCUGAGCCUGUUUACCAAUCAUCAGCCCAAGAAAGAGAGUAAUUCCUGAGAGGAAGGGGUUGAUAAUAACCUAAACUCAAAAUAAGCCCCACCUUGUCUUUGACUUACAGAUGUUAGCAGACAGGAACCAUAUUCUCAGGGAAGCUACGAUGUGCUUGUACCUACUGCAUCAGUGAGUCCGAACAUCUAUGUAGACAUUCAAACUAAAACUUCCAGCUUUUUAAAUCACAAGUUAUAACUCUUAUUCCAUUUCCUACAAGUGAACCGACACCUAAAAAAAUCUGGCUGUUCUGAAGACAUGGAAUGCAGAGACCUGGCUGAGGAUAAGGCCUGGCAAUAUUCCAAUAUUCUUAGGUAAAAAGAUGUACUAAGGAGCUAGAUUUAAAAUAAAUAAAUAAAUAAAUAAAA